UCCCUGGUGGCUCAGAUGGUAAAGAGUCUGCCUGCAGUGCAGACGCCCAGGUUCAAGCCCUGGGUUGGGAA
rnacentral:tRNA from 1 species